GAGAAAUGAAAGGAAUGUAUCUAUAGACGACAAGAAUGGAAUCGCCGCUAAUUCUGUAGGUGCAUUUCCCCCCAGGAAAUUCCAUUAGGUCACCACAGGAAUCCAAAUAAGUGGGAGAUGGGAGAAUUUUGAUUUACCUUGGUCCUUGAAGAAAAGGCCACCCAGAUGAUGUAAAGAAAAUAAGGUAAGGCAAAAGAAAACAACUCAGAACAGAAUCAAGUGCCAACGUGGUCCUAUCAGUAAGGCCUUUAGCCAUCUGUCAUUGCCAUUUCUACAGAACUAGAAGCAGGGGCGUAGGAAGGGAGGGAGGGCAGAACGCCCCGGGUGGCCUCCAUGAGGGGGGUGACUUUUGGCGCACCGCCCACCUGCGACUCCCAAGCCUACCCCGAGCCGAAGGGGUAAGGGGGGGAGCUGUGCCGCUUUGCCGGCAGCAUUCCCCCCUUCCCCCUUCGUUUUGACAGCUUGGGGGAGGCUUGGGAGUUGCGGGCAGGUGGCGCACCGAAUGUCCGCCAUGGGCAGCUCACUCUGCCCCCGGAUAGAGGGUGAACGCACCGCUCCGGGCACCCAAGCGGCUAUCCUGCGCCUGGGAGGGCGCCCUACGCACCAUGCCCCCCUCGGGAGCGUGCCCGCCCUGGGCAGCGCGGGCAUAUGCUCUGCUGCUGACUAGAGGGAUAAUUCCAUCUCAUAGGGGUGUUUUGAUAUGCCACCAUUAUGUAAGCCAGGGGUGAAGAGCCUCAGGCAUGAAGGUCAAAUGCUGUGCUCCAGGAUUCUCUGCAACUCUCCCCAAGACACAUACUUCACGGUCCCUGGUUUGCACUCCAAAUGCUUUUGCCUGGCUGGAAUACAUCCUUGAAUGUUGACCAUGCUACUUGCUUGUGUGGAUGAAGAACAGAGAGGGGCUUGUGCAUGUUUGUAGAAACUAUGCAGAAGUAAAAUAUGCAUUCAUUGCUCCGCCCACACUUGCCUCUGACCCCGCCCACAACUGGUAUUUGGCCCUCAGAAGCCUCCCCAGAAGGGAAUGUGGCUCUCAGGCUGGAAAAAGUUCCCAAUCCCUGAAGCAAAUUCAGCGAAAUGGUUAUUUAAUUUUAAAACAUUAAAUUUAUUUCUAAACUGCUUAGAGUCUAGUUAAAUGGAAUAUUUCUAUGUAAACCGCUUAGAAACUAUGGUAGUUAAGUGGUAUAUGAAUUGUUCAUAUAGUAAAGAAAAUAAAAAUAUAAAAAUCUGUCCAAUUAUUGAGGUUUAGGGAACACCAAAUAAACACUUUUGGAAAGCCGAAUCUGGCCUGCAAGACACAGAUUUGCCACCCCUGGUGUAAUGAGACUGAAUGCAGCAUCUUUAGCGAGUAUCACAUGCCUCUCCCUGCUCUUUGAGAUGAGCUGGGGAUGCUUUGCUCUGGGUGCCUUUGACUUCUAAGGUAAGAUCUAUGAUUAGCUAGAGCAGAGCUUUUUCAGCAAUGGUACCGCAACCUUGGAAUAGUGCCCAGAGGUCUGCAAAGCACAAUUGCUACUUAGAUUUCAAUUCCCAGUGAAGACAUUUCAGUUCUCCAAAUCAGUUUAGAUGCUGCUUUUGGAGUGCUGCUUUUGCCAUUUAUUUCAUGAUCUAUUUUAGAAGAAGCCCUCCAACAUUUAAAUAUGUCUUAAUUUGAUGUUUUCUAUUGGAAACUUUUAGAAUAUUACGUAUGGUGACUAGGGAUUUAACCAAUUUGGGGGGAAACAGGACAGAGAAUGAGAUGUGAAUCUGUCUUUUGUCACAGAUACAUGGAAUAUAAUUACAAAUAGAUAAAAAGAAGUAGUCCGAGCUAUAUAUCUAAGACUAUGGGGAGGGGAAGUUUAAAGACUGAGCUGUCAAUCAAUGCAUGGAAAUAUGCAAGGGUAUAGACAAAUUUGUACACUCUGUAUCUGGCAUUAAGAGAAAACUUACAAACUGAUAGCACAAAGAUACGUGACUGUUUUACCAUGAUAAUACAGCAAUGUAGUGAAAAUAUGUUGGAUAGGGGGGAAAUAAAUUUCCUACAAUGUUGAUGCACUUGUAAAAAAAGUUCUGAGAGUUAAUUUGACAGUUUGUUUGUUUCUUGACAUAUUUGAAAGGAGCAACUCUAAGGAAGAAAGAAAUAUUACUGUUUCACACAUGAAUAGUUGCUAGAUUGCUUUAAAGUAAUAUGAUCCAGCAAGAACACACUGAGAAUCUUUUUAGAUGAUUACUUCAAUGUUUUUCUGCAUUAUCAUCAUAUAUUAGUGGAAAAUUAAAGGCUAAAUUCUACAGAUUUUUCAUCCUUUCUUAUGUACUGCUCUGAGUGUUUUUAAGGGAAAGUCAGUUAAUAAAUCUUAAGUAUCAGCCCAGAAAACAGUCUGAAGGUACAGGAUGUGGUUACCUUGCUGAAGCUAAGGAUGCCUGAAUUCUGGUUGGUGCCUAGAUGAGAGGUACCCAAAAUAUGCCCUCUUGUGCUCCUGAGAUGAAAGGUAAGGUGCAAAUGCAAUCAGUGAUACUGUCAGGACAAGACCUUGAGACAGUGGCCUAAGCAGAAUGAGUGGGAAAGCCCCCGAAAUGCAGCAGGGUUAGCUUACCCCAGUUUGAAGUUAAGUGAAAUCUACACAUUAUCAUCUAAAGAGGAGACUACAGACCUGCGGUUCCCAGAAUUCCCUGGGAAGAAGGAGAGUUUGUUAACCCACUCUGAGAAUGGUAGCUCUGUAGAUUAAAUAGCAGUCUCCUAAUGACACACAGCAUCUUUAAAUACUAUUCCCCGAAUUCUUUGGGGGAAGCCAUGACUGUUAAAGUGGCAUAACAGUGCUUUAAAUGUAAUGUGUGAAUGCGGCCCAAGCUGAGGAUUCUGUUCGAAAUGCAUUCAACUCAUAAAAUGAAAUUAUACACUCAGAUGCCUUUCCUUUUGUAUUAUAACAAACAACACAAGCAGGAAUUUACUAAUUAAGGUUAUGACGUAAUAUGUCCAAUAGCAAGUAAAACUCCAGCAGAGAAGAGCAACAGGUUCUUUUUCUGACUUCAACAUUGUAAAUCCUCCAGCUGCUAAACUGAGUUAUUACACUUUUCUGUUCCAUAAAGAAUGUUGCUUUGGAAACAGAACUGUUGAUCUUAAAAAGUUCCUGUUUAAAUGCAGAUCUGCACUAAAGCUCUGGGGCUCUUUAUAUCUCUAAGACUGGUCUGGCUCCUACCAAGCCAGACUGAAACCUUCCAUAUCUAAAAGGUCCAGCAUGGUGCUUAUUGUGAAACAGUAGCAGCUCAAGGAGUGAUUUGCUUGAAGAAAAAUAGGCUUCUGCUUUUAAGUAGUGAUCAAGGGGGGAGGGAACACAGCUACAAGACAUUUGCAGAGGCACAGGAGCGGCACAUGGCUGCUGAGUAUCUAGCAUGCAAGCAUUCAGCAGCCUAUGCUGAAUACUGCCUGAUACUCAGUGGCAGAAGCCUAUUAACCUCCAGGAAAUCGCCUCACAAGUCACUGCAGGCUGCAGCAAAACGUCUAAGAACUUACUCAAUUUUCUGCACUUCCUUUAAUUUAACCAACAUCAUCAAAAUCAUGCGGUUUUCCAAAGGAAGGAUGAUGCUACCAAAUGCCCAAAGAAUCCUAUGUGCUUCAUGUGCCGUAUGUACAAUUACCACGGCCUUGUUAUUCAGCAUAAAAUGUACACAAUGGAAAACAAUACCCAAAACAGAUGAUUGUUCAUUUCCACAAGGAACAGUUUUUCAUCAUCCGUCAUGGAUUAAACAUUGAAGUAUACAGCAUUUCCUUCCAAACCAAUGAGCCAUGUUAAUUUGGAAAACAUGUUCAAAAGCUCAAAAGACUGAGGCAGUUAUCUAGUUACUUCCUCUGUAUUUUCAGAAAUGGUUGAUAACAAUGUAGGGGAAAAUGAUAAUGCACAUUUACUGGAUACACCAAAAUGAACGUUUAAGAAGUAAGUGAAACAAAUGUUUCUGCGACUUAGUACAUGCUAUCACAUUGGGCAUGACCUGGUUUACAAGAUUCAGGGAUACCUGGGGAGCAAGUAAAUUAUAAAAUACACCAGAUCGACAUCAGUAGGAGCAGGUCUGCUCUUCAAUGCUUUGCUCGCUCUUUCUUAUAAAAUAUCUCCACUUAAGUGUAAGAAUCAGGAAAAACCCAAUGCCUUGAAUUGUGACAUGGGAGUAGCACAUUCAUACCUAUGUAUGUACAGUGGUGCCCCGCAAGACGAAUGCCUCGCAAGACGGAAAACCCGCUAGACGAAAGGGUUUUCCGUUUUGGAGGUGCUUCGCAAAACGAAUUCCCUAUGUGCUUGCUUCACAAGACGAAAAUGUCUUGCGAGUUCCUGCGGGGGUUUUUUCCUUCCCCCCCCCUUUUUCCCAAGCCGCUAAACCGCUUAUCAGCUGAUGGCUAAGCCGCUUAUCAGCAGAUCUUUAAGCCGCUAACAGCUGAUGCUAAGCCGCUUAUCAACUGAUCUUUAAGCCGCUUAACAGCUGAUGCUAAGCCGCUUAUCAGCUGAUCUUUAAGCCGCUUAACAGCUGAUGCUAAGCCGCUUAUCAGCUGAUGGCUAAGCCGCUUAUCAGCUGAUCUUUAAGCCGGCUAAGCCGCUAAACCUCUAAUGGGCUUGCUUCGCAAGACGGAAAAACCCGCAAGACGAAGAGACUCGCGGAACGGAUUCUUUUCGUCUUGCGAGGCACCACUGUACACUCCACCCAAUUGAUUUAUCUUCUACAACUGGGUGGCUGCUUCACGCUGAGUCAGACCAUUAGUCCAUCUUGCUCAGUAUUGUCUUCUCAUCACAAGACGAUACUGUGGGCAGCCAGUGACAGGCAUACUUCAUUUGCAGGGUCCUGUACAAAACACAUUUCCCUCCCAUGUCCCCUACCCCUUGGUAUGACCUUCUUAAAAGUCACUGGCAUAAUUGCUGUUUUCAUGAAUGGUGUCUCGGAUAGUUUAACCCUGAAACAGAUGAAGUAUAGAGAACUUUCCCGGAGUGUGGCCACUAUCUCAUUCUGACAGCUUCCAGGAGUUACAGGUGAGAGCUGAGUGCAGGGUGCUGUUGGAAUGAAAUCACGACAGACGAAUAGCAGGUGUCAUGUGAGAGGCAUCUCUGGAGCAAGCCCCGAGAACUCUCUUUUAUAGAAUAUUACAAACAUUGCCACAGGUGCGCUCGUUGCUGAUUGGUUGAUACAAACACAAAGCAACUUGUUGCUGAUUGGUUAACACAAGUACAAGGCGAGGGUUACAUAUAGGCAUUAAUCACCAAUAGAUUAAAGGCUGGGAAAUAGAGCACAGAACUAGACAGGCAUGAAACCUCCUAAUUAAAUUAUAGCUAAUGAUUGAUAUAGCAUGACUAAAACAAUUACUAAUGAUUGAUCAUAACAUGAAAGAAUAUAAUAAUCGAGUUCCGUAGAUGUGGUCAGCUAUGCAUUAAGAACAGGUCAGAGUGUUUUCAUGAACUUAAGAUGAACUGAAAAUCCUAGGGAAAUGAGGGAAUGUCUUGGUAUUUAGAACAGGUUGUACAGUAUGUACAGAAGCAGAGAAAAGCUUAGAAGCGAGACUUCCCAUAAUGCCAGAGAAAAGAAGCAGGACUUCCCAUAAUGCCACAGUUAUGUGCAGAAAGAGAACUUCCCUUCAUCGUGCAGAUCAAAGGUGGAUAAACUAUCCCAGAAAGCGUACAAUGUGUCUUCCACCAGAAGUACUACCCCUCCCUUAAUGGUGUGUCUCAAACCCUCGGUGAGUUAGGGACUGCCCCUGCAGGCAAAGACAGGCUCCGGUGGAUUGAGCUGACAAGACCAAUAGUGGGUCCAAGGGUCAAGAAGGUGGUUUCUGCAUAUGCUGUAGAGGAAAAUGAGGGGCAGAUGGGGCUCUUCAACCUGAGAAGGCAGCCCAUCUAGGAGAAGGAAGACUGUGAUCCUAAACCUCUGCUGCCAUGUGGAGAUACCCAUUCAUGAGAAAGCCUUGUGCCCCAGAGGUCACUUGGUUCUGCUAAUGCAGCAAAAACAAUGCAGGAGGCAGCAGUUAUGGGUUACCAGUCUCUGCAGGUACAGCAGGUGCUGUGAUUCUCCAGCAGUUUAACUUCACCGCUGAACGCACACGCCAUUGUCUCUCAAGACAGGCAGAUGCCAACAUUAAAGGGCUGCACUCAAGAAAGGGCUGGACAUACCUCCUGCCCCUGUGGACCAUGUUGUUUGCAGGGAGUGAAUGCUCUCCCCCACCAGCGUUGCUAAUUACAGUUGAUUCACUUUGUCCCAAGGAAUUUCUUGGGAACCAUUGAUAAUCGAGGGCCAAACUAGAUGUGAUGCUAGUUGCAUGAAUGCAUGAGUUCUCCAUUCAGCAGCUAUUAAACAAAGUUAGUAAGAGGAUGCUUGUCUUCUGGACUAAAAGCUAACCUUUUCUAUCUCAGAUCUGACUGUCAACUUGGCAUCUCCAGACAUUCUCUGGCAGACCCGGAAAGAAGGAUGCUUUCCAUGUUAAGUCAAGAUCUGAUUUAGUCCCUUAAAAAUAUUUACAUGGUCAUUUAAUGAUGCAGAAGAGGAAAACAGAAACACUAACAAGAUGUUCACUUUCUCUCUUUUUCUGAUCUAAUAUGGAAAAUCAUGGUAAUGUGUGGGGUUUGAUGUUUGUAUUCCAAGCAUCACAUGGCUCCCGGCUUUGGUUUUUAGUGGUGAAGAAGAUGAGGUAACCCAUAACAUUAACAACCAUUCAGGAAAGGCUAGUUUCUCUUACAUCAUUUCAUCUAGACAGAUAUUCUAAAUAUAAUUCUGAAGCCCUAGCAUUUUGAAAGAAAUGCCUAUUUUUUUCAUAAAUUCAAUCCUGACUAAACAAAGUUUAGAAAGGCUGUGUACACACACUCGUUUACUCAGCAUCCCGUCCAGGGAUGUUUUGAUGUGUUUCUCCCCAAACUAGCUUCAAUGCAAACUGAGGAGAAAGAAUACUUUAAGCCGGUAAUUAAUACACAGCUAUAAAGUCCUCUCUGAGAUGUUAUACAAUGGGGCAGAUCCACACUAUACACUUAAAGUACAAAAUUUCCCUCAAAGGAUCCUGGGAACUGUAAUUCCCCUCUCACAGAGCUACAAUUCCCAGCACUUUUACCAAAGUCCAGUUCCCAGGAGUCUAUGCUGGGCUUGUGUGACCACCACAUAAUUUCUAAAAUGUCCUGAACUAACAGAAUAUCUAUCUUAACCAACCUGUGGUAAGCAAACUUAAUAAGACUAGCAAAUAUCAUUAAAUGCCCUGCGCAAGGACGCUAGGAAUCGUAACCGUUCUCCCCUUGCCCUUCUGCUGCCUUAGCCUCUGAAGGAAAAUAAUUGUUGGCAGAACUGCCCUGAAGAGCAACUCUAUGCUCAAGUGACUUGUAAUUGCUCCAGCAAACAUAAUGUUGAGCUCCAAUGAUUUUCAACAUUACAGGUCAGGCAAUAUAAAGAAGCCUUCAUUGAGUCUUAGCAAGGUUAUUUAUAGAUGUUCACUAGAUCUGAUGGGAGGAAAGGAAAAUGUGCACAGAAAUAAAUGUUAUCAUGGUAAACGCUGGCCUGAUCCUGUGAGGUUCUGCUGUUAACUGUAAAGCGGGAAACAGUGUUCCACUAAGGCUGCAAGGUCCAGGCAACGUGCAAGGGAAGCUAAGGAAGAGCAGAGGGUGACUGACUACCACCAGCAAAUAGCAGGACAGAGAGAAGGAAGCCAGGAGUGUCUACAAUGCAAGCCUUCAAAGGGCAUGAAAAGCUCACAUGUUUCAGGUGCCCUUUCCUAAAGGGUCUAAGUAAUGAUGUUUUUAACACAGCUGAUUAUAAUUUGGUUUAUGAUAACCUUUAUAUAAUGUUUCUGGCCUUUUUAAAAAUGCUGUUUUCUAACUGUUUUCGAAUUGUUUGGUGAUUCUAAUGUCUUUUAUAUUUUGCUUUUGCAAGCUGUCUCCUGAGGACUAUAAGCAGCCCUAAAAGACAGCCAUGUGUGUGUGUGUGUGUGUGUGUGUGUGUGUGCACAUGCGCGCAUGUGUACUUAUAUACAUUAACACACAUAUUGGACGUCCAGGAACAGAUCUGAUUUCAAAACUCCAAAACAAACUAAGAUAGGAAGGAGUUAGACUGUUCUAAAUACUGUGCUCAUUAACAUUUCAAAGCUAAUUCCAUGGAAUUUUGAAAGUAGUUAAAUGGGUGAUUAGUGCUAAAAAUUACUCUUUCUUCAAAGCUCUGUGCUUCUCUUAUUCUUGCUCUACUUAAAUGAAGCAAAGACCUCAUUCUGGCAGAGGGAAUCCAGUAUAGCACUGAUAUUUAUUUAACAGCAUCCUUUCCAGAGGUUUUUUAUAGGCACUAUAUAGUACUGCACAUUUUAAGGACAACAAAAAUGCAUUCCGCUCCCCGCUCCCCCAGAAAGCUGUUUAAUUAAUAUGCUGAUUAAUUUAUAGAAAUAGGGAAUUCCUUAUGGGCAACACACACACCAGCAUGCCCUGAUCUCUAUGUUUAUGCACAUUGCAUUUUUUUCUAUAAUAUUUUUAAAUUGUGAUCAUUGAAGUGCCGUCCAUUAUUACAGUCAGUUGAGAUCCUAUCAGCAAUGUGUAACAAAGAUUGCCUCUGAUUUAAAUUUCAUAGGGCCUGUUAUGUGCUGCAGUCAAGCAUGUAAUAGAUGCCGUAUCAAAAAUAGCACACCCUCUCUUGGCAACAUCAUUUGUCAAACCACAAUGGACAGGUGGAGACCAAUACAUGUUUUACACAUUAAGCAUUUGGGGAACGAGUUGAUGACAGCUCCCAUCCAACCAUGCCCUUGUAUUUUACACUACGUAAGAUGAUGCCUUGGCAGUACCCAUUUUGCAUGGAUGUGGGGGUGGAGGUGAACAAGGUGGCAGCAUGGCUUCAAUGGAUGAUGGCUCCUCCUCCUCAUGCCACCACCACCACCAUCAGGGGGCUGCUUCAACCCGCCUUCCUCUCUGCGGCAGGAAGAGGAGGAGCCAGCCACAGAAGCCACACUGCGUUUGGCUCCAUGCUCGACCUCCUCCGCCCCCUGAUUUUUUGGAACAUUAGGGGGCUGCUCCUCCCCCUAAAAAUAUUGGGGGAACUAAGAGUUGGCCACCAUGAGUUGGUCCUCUGGAUCAAGAUGAAUGCUCAACAAACAGGUCUGGAAAUGCCCCUUGACUCUUAAGGUGGCUGUUCCACACACACAUGGGAAUAAGCCCAACAAAGUGAACUUGGAUUGAUUUAAGCAGGCCUCUCUUUUUUAAAGCCAGAACUCACCAGAACUCAGUUCCAGCACCUCUCAGGUGGGCCCCAUUGCCAUUAUAAGAGAACAAGGGGAGUUCCGGCACCUCUCUUUCUAGAAAAAUAGCACUGGAUUUAAGCAUAAAUCACUGUCCUUAGCAGAAAGUUAUGCCAGUCUAUAAAAUAUCACAUGGAAAGCAUCAACACUUGUUACUAUCCCCUAGAAAGACCUCUUUAGGCUAGUGAAGGAUCCAGAAGCAUCUUGUUUAUACAUGUGUCUUUUUCAGGGCUAUAUAUCUUAAUUCCACCAGCAUUAUGACUGCAAUCUGGGGCUCAUUUACUCACAAUAUUUUACCGUAUAUUUUAGUACAUGGGUGAUAUGAAAAAGUAGCCCUGUGUCACCAAGUGCUCUAAUUGCAAAUGGGACAUCAUAGAAGCCCAGAAUCAAACAAUUUUGUCCAUUAGCUAUUGCUCAUGGCCAGUUUGAAUUUAAUCCAGCUACAUGAACAAGAAUUUAAAAGCACACUACACUUUUCUUCCAGUUCAACUUAUCAAUUUUUGAACCAUUUGGGGGAACCAUUCUUAACAAACAUAGUUAAGAAUUAGUAAGGACAUUUUUAUUUACCGCAUAAUUUAUUACAUUAUAUUUGAAUAAAAUCUACAUUAAACAGCAGGUCUCAAAAAGUGAUGAAAGGGUGCAAUGUUACAGGAAUGCUAAAGAAAGGUGAGACCUCUAGAACAAAUGAAAAAGUAAGAUUGAUAAUGUACAUUCAUUUAACGGCAACUAUAAAAAUUCUACUGCAGGAAUAAGACCCUUCAUAGAUCUACAGAAACCAUUUCAACAGCUCUCUUUCCAAAGAGGUAAUUUAUGCUUAAUAUGGGAUACCUUGCUAUAUAUGUGCACAUAUAUAUGGGUUAAAUUACUGCACCUGUCAAGGCCUCUGUGUAGCAUAGCUCCAUCUAAUUAUGUUGUAAAACCUGUUCAUUACAUGGAAAUUGUCUUUUCAGUGGGUGGUUUUUUGUUUUGUUCAGUCAUGGUCUAUAAUGCUAAAUAUAUGUUAAAACUGACAGAGGGGAAAGUGCUUAGCCUGUGCUGGAGGAAUUGGGGGGUGGCAGAAAAUUUUCUUUGCCCUAAAGGGAGCAUGGGGCACUGAACACAUUACUGUUUGAUUUUAUCUAUUAAGUCAGGAUGAAGCUCAAGGUCGUUUUUCUUUUUAUAUGAAUGGGCCAUUGCACAGUAGCAAGCGAAAGCACAUACAGCUUUCGGAGGAGCGGGGGGGGGGUGUAUGUGUAUGUUUAGGGAUGGGAGAGAAAUUUGGAUUGCAUUUUAAUGUGAAACUCAACUACAGUGGUACCUCAGGUUAAGAACUUAAUUCAUUCUGGAGGUCCGUUCUUAACCUGAAACUGUUCUUAACUUGAGGUACCACUUUAGCUAAUGGGGCCUCCCACUGCCGCCAUGCGAUUUCUGUUCUCAUCCUGAAGGUAAAGUUCUUAACCCGAGGUACUAUUUCUGGGUUAGUGGAGUCUGUAACCUGAAGCGUCUGUAACCCAAGGUACCACUGUAGUUCAUACUUCCUGAAACAACAUGCAAACUGAAAUACAGCUGUUCCUGGAAAUUCACACUUCUACAAAUUUUGUGAUGCGAUUCUCCAACCCAAAAAUGUGUACAAAAAUGCAUGUGUUAGGGGAAAGUGUAUGGGGUGUUGGGAGAGGGGUAGCACCUCUGGUCACACCCCAGGAACAACUUCAACUGAACAGCUAAGACACGUGAGGGAAGCCGAUGGGUCUUAAACCCUCAGGGCAUUAGGGACUUCUCCUGCAUGUGAAGACAGGUGUACUGAGCAGGCGAUACCAACAGUAGGUCCAACGGUCAUGAAGGUGGUUUCUGCUUGUGCUCUAGAGGGAAGUGAGGGGCAGGUGGGGCUCGUUAGCCUGGGAAAGUAGCCCAUCUAGGAAAAGGAAAAACUCUGCAGUGGAGGGUGUUUUCCUGUGACCAGUGUUAAAAUAAGAUUCACUUGCCAACGCACACAAUUUCUGUAAGUGGACCAGGAAGUGGGUGCCAUUUUGUCCUUCACCUCAAGCAGCAAAAUGUCUUGGGCUACCCAUGGCUGUUCCAAGAGGGAUGGGACACUUGGAGAGGCUUUCAAUCAGAUGAAAGGCCACAGCUUUUUUCAAACACAACCAAUUAUCGUUCUCUCUCUCAGCUUUCUAAUGGUCCCUUCCAUGGUGAAUGCUGAUGAUGUGUUUCAAGGGUAUGCUUGAGGCACAAAAUGUAUUUAUUUUAUGGAGACAAUAGUUCUGUGCAUUCAGUAAGCAUGGAGGGGCAGGGCUACAAUUGUGGCAGCAAGUCUAACCUGCUGCAUACACCCAACAUUCACACAUUGGUCAUAUUGUCUGCAUAAGGAUUAAGCAUGAACUCCCAACUUGCCUAUCCAUCACCAGUAAAAAUGCAGCGUGCAGAUCACACAAUAGGUUCCAAUGUGCAUUGGGGGUCUACACACCUAGACCUUUAUGCAACUAUUAUAAUUAAUGAAUGUUGCUAGGGUUGCAGAUGUAGUGGGGCCUGCUUCUACAGUAAUUGUCUCCCUUCAUCCACAAUUUAAUUUAAUGUCUGCACAGGACUAUACCAUUAAGCACAUUUGGAAAAAUCUGCGAUUGUUCACCACGCUAGCUGCGCAUUAAUUUUAAUAUAUGAUUAACACAUACUCCAAUGAGCACUCUCUUAACCACUACUAAAUGUUUGAAUGUCAAAUUACUUAUUUGAAAAUAUGCAGGUCAGCAGCUCCUCACUUGAGAAAUUAAAUAAACUAGUAUUCAUUCGUUGCAUUUGUGAAGCGUUUUUCUUAGGCCAUUUAAGUAAAAAAAAAUUUCAUGCCAUUCUUCUCUAUGGACAUCUUUAGACAUUUCUGAGGGAAAGAAGAAACAAACAAGACAGCUCCGGGCAAUGCAAUGCUAUAUCCAUCGGAAGCAUUGUGUUUUUUUCUCAAUUUUCCUUCCUUAGCAGCUGGCCUGAAGGAACUAAACUUAGCAGGACUGAGGUGUGGGAAACCAGAUAGCACAUUCUAGGGCCUGAGAGGAAAUGCAAGGCUCAAUGUGUUUGAGGUUAAGAUUAAUGCUUGACUUCCUCCGGGGCUAUUUUAAACAGUGGUAAAGGAUGGCUUGCUUUCUUAUAACAAAAUGACAGAUGAUCAAAAGGUUGACUAUGAUCUGUAUGUCAGGCAUUCGUGCCCCUGUUGUAGCCCUUUACUUGACAGGGGCAUUUGAACACAGUGGCUUCUACUUCCUUUCCUCUUUGUUUACCCAAAACAUGCCGGUAACUGGGAAAGGCAAUGUAUCAGCUGGGGAAGGACCAGCGGACUUUGCAUGUGUCCGCAAAGCGGAGAGCAGCUGGCUUAGUUUUGAACAAAGUGUGAAAUUGUAGGGACUGGGAAUACUGCUGUCUCAGUACUGAAAAUUAAUGUGGUGAUGUAUUCUGGACUGACACUCUGGGAUGCUAAAUAGCUGAAGCCCAACCUCCCAAACUGAUUGGUGCAGCUGCUGCUAAGGUGGAACUACUUUGUCUCCAAGCCACCCAGCUUUUCUUCCUCUUCUAGAAGCACAAAUGAGUCCCUCAGCACAUUCGAGAAACUCCUAAGAUUCUUCAGUUGUGGAUCAUGGGACAAAUUCACCAAAGCGCAAAGCGGUGCUUUUUUUCAGCGAGUACUCAAGGGUACACAAUACUGGGGCUUAUCAAACAACCGCUUAUCACUCCAAUGUGCUGUUCCCUGAGUGAAAUAUUCUUUCCACUGUGACUAGCAAAACCAGUGUCUAGAACAUGGAUUUAUAACACACUCCCAACAUUAUAAUUACAUUUUUUUCCAUGUGGAUUAUUACAAUUGUUUCCCCACACAAAUUGUAAUAGGCCACAGUUGCAAUCUGGCCCUUAUUACUCUGAUUCACAUAACCGUUAACAACAUUCAAUUAUUAAUACUCUCUCUUAACUAGCAAUCUGGUGACUGGUUUCCUAACAACCCUUUGUCAUUUCUCUCCUGUGUGAAACAGCAACACAAGGCUUAUUGAACAGGUCUCAUAUCACACUGGGGCGCUGGUCCCUCAGGGGAAAUCUCUCUAUUCUAGCUAGCAUAUUAGGUAUGAGGGGCCUGCUUUUUGAAGCUUUGACCUUUCUUCCUUAUACGGCAUCUGCACUUAAAUGUAAGAUUUAGGGAAAACCCAAAUACCUCAGAUUGUGACACGGGAGUUAUGCAUACAUACCUAGGCACGUAUACCCCUACCUAUAUGGUUAUCUUCUACAACUGAGACACAGAUGGCUGCUUUAUGCUGAGUCAGACCAUUAGUCCAUCUUGCUCACUAUUGUCUACUCACUAGACAAUACUGUGGGCAGCCAGUGACAAGCAUCCUUCGUUUUGCAGGUUCUUGUACAAAAUGCUUUCCCCGCUCCCCUUCCAAUUUAGUUUGAUGAUUCACCAGGAUCCAAUUCCAUACCUCUUGAUCAGAGGCAAAACAUUAUUAUGAGAAGGCAUUUACAGUGGUACCUUGGGUUACAUAUGCUUCAGGUUACAUACGCUUCAGGUUACAUACGCUUCAGGUUACAGACUCCGCUAACCUAGAAAUAGUGCUUCAGGUUAAGAACUUUGCUUCAGGUUGAGAACAGAAAUCGUGCUCCGGCAGCGGCAGCGGGAGGCCUCAAUAGCUAAAGUGGUGCUUCAGGUUAAGAACAGUUUCAGGUUAAGUACAGACCUCCAGAACGAAUUAAGUACUUAACCCAAGGUACCACUGUAAUUAAAUAUGACGUACACAUCUCCAGAAUGUAUAUAAAUUAUAGAUGCAUACUUAUGGCAAAUAUUAAUAGGCAUGACAAUCUUGGAUUGGUAGGCAGUGAGUCAACUUCAGACUGGGUGCAUUUCUGUUGGGGGGGGUGGAUUAAUGUACAACUGCACCGUAUGACAAAAUGAUCAUAUGUGAAGAUUUCUGAGUUUGAUCCUUCCCUACAGAGCUUGUACACUCUCCUGUCACUGCUGGCAGCAGCUCUGGGGUCCAGGCAGGGGUCUAUCCCCACCACAUCUGGCAUGACUUUCAUGUGCCCACAUAGGACAGACACCUAAGAGUUGACACGUGUACACCUGUUCAUGCACCUUGUUCAACAUGCACCAACCCAAGCCUUGCUCCACUGCAAAUUAUACACCCCAGUGUGUAAACUGCCCCUUAAUUAAUUGAUGGACUUCCUUGCCCCAGAUGUUGCGAAUGUGAGAGUCAGUGGUACAGAUAGCACUAAGAACAGAGAGACCUAUCUUCUGCAUGAAUUUGGUCGAUCAAUGGCUAUUAGUCAUGAGACAUGGGACUUAACAGUGUAUUCCCAUCUGCUAAGUGGAGUGUUCCUAUCCAGGACUCCUGAGAAGGAGCUUUGUUCAGUAGUCUUGUUCAGGCCUCUCGGGGAGAGGAAAGUUUCAGGAGUAAGAAAAGAAUAAAGAACGUGAUUUUCCUCCCCUUCCGCCAUCCCAAGGCCUCUGCUGGCUGGGCUAUAAAGCAGUAGGAGGCUGCCAAAUGCAAAUAUGAGUUUUUACAGCUAAAUAGGGGAGGAGGGCCCACACUUCUGGAGAAAGAGAAAAAGUCGGGGGGGGGGGGACAGGGCACUGCUCUUAAAACAGGACAGAUAUAAUCUCACUCCUUCUCUAAGACACAUCAUACAAUCUGUCAGCAUGAAAAAGUGAGUUUCCUCUUUUCCCUCCAUCCCCCGUUUUCCUUCUUUGGAUUGGUUUUGUCUUGUUUUCAGCUAAAAUUCUCUGCUCGAACCAUUCUCAUCAAAAGAUUUAAUUUACAGACUUGCAUAGCCUGCCUGCUUUCUGCCAGCAAGGUGUGCUGGCUGAGGAUGAUUGCAGUUGUAGUCCAAAACAUAUGGAAGGCAACAGACUGGCAAAGGUAUAGUCAGGCAGCUUUGGGGUUUUCUAUUAUGUUUAAGUCAUUUUGAUUUAUAUACUUGUAUAAUCCUGCUUGCCUAGGGAGUUCCCUCAGUACGUCAAAACCAGCACUUUAUCUUUGGGCGGCCCUGCUUCACUUCCAAAAUCAUAGGCACUUCACAACCUGAGUUUGCUAUUAUUGGGAACAAGUGGGACCUGCAACAAAAUGUUGCAAUGCUGAGUGCUCCUGUUCAGUGAUUCACCCAAAAAGCCAAGCUGCAUUUUCAAGAUACUAUGUUCUACUUCCCCUCCCAAUUUCCAGUUUUCUAUUUUCUCCCCAAGCAGACACUCAGCAUUUUGUGGCCACAAAACCUGCUGUCUUCCUUUGGCAUUUUUAGGGUGGGGUUUUGUGUUGUGUAUGUUUUGCCCUCUUAGGAUUUCAUCCUAAAUGUUUGUACCUCUGGGAACCUUGGGGUUCUUCUGAGCAUGCUCAUACUUUCCUCUUGUUUCUCAGUGGCCUCAUUUUGGCUGCAGCAGCUGAGUUCAUUGUUGGAAGGAAAGAUGACAACUAAAUUGAAACUGCAUGUUCAGAAGCGGUAUGCUUUUGAUGAUCAUCGGCAGGGAACAAGCAACAGCAGGAACCAAACAUCUCCAUCAUGCCUUACUUCAGGGUUUGGAUAAGUGUAUAGCUAACCACUGUUGGCAACAGAUGAGACUGAGUCUGGGGGCACCUAAGGUUCUUAUGCCAGCUCAGCAUCAGGGGCAGACUUUGGCAAUAUGGCGCCCAAAGCGAGGACAACAUUUGGUGCUCCCUAAAUAUUUCUUAUUUUAAUGCCCUCCUCAGUUGAUAAAGCAUGAGACACUUAAUCUCACGGUUGUGGGUUCAGGCCCCAUGUUGGGCACAAGGAUUCCUGCAUUGCAGGGGGUUGGACUAGAUGAUCCUUGUGGUCCCUUCCGACUAUACAAUUCUAUAAUUCUAUGCCCAUGAUGGAUAGCCUUUCAUUCUGUGCAUGCUCUCAAUUUCACUAUGUCCAUUGCGGCAGCCUUUGGCUAUGUGCAAUAAAACUGACUGAGACUGAGACUAUGUCAUAGGUAUGGCAACUGAAUUGCCCAUCUGACCAGGGCAUAACUUUGAGUAGACACCCAUAUAAAUAUAGGAUUGUUGUUGUUGUUUUGUGCCUCCUUGGCUUGGCACCCUGUGGAGGAACACCUUGCACCACUAGCAUUAGCUCCUGGUGUAGUAGUGCUAGUGCCAAACAUCACUCCAAAACACACACAUUGAGGAGGAGAGUUCUUUCACAAAAGCUCUGAGCUAAGGGCCACAUGGCCACUUCCUUUGGUUGAUGGAAGUUCCAGUCUCAAAGUGCCUGGGGCAAUAUUACAAUCCAGCAACAAAACUUCUAUGCCAGCAACAAAAUAAUCUCAACAUGGUGACCCAAUUUUUUCAGGUUGCUUAUGCCUCUUACGUAUUACAAAAACCUCAGCACCAACUAGGGCCAUUGUUGUGUAUGACUCAGUAGACGGGAAUGAUUAAUGUAGACUGUUUUCUUGUUUAACUAUGUUGCUUUGAAGGCUCCUUUGUGAAGGUAGGUUAGCAGAAGCUGAAUUAAAUGUAAGGAAUCUAGGAAAGGUGACGUGUCAUGAAAGCCCACCUCACAAAAAUGGAACAAGAUACAAGAGGUUUAUUAGGUUAUUGUGUAAAUUCAACCUUUUUUCUUUUCUUUUGGAGGAAAUAGAGGGUUUUAUUUUUUUUUAGGAAAUAAAAGUAUCAGUCACAGAAAUAGGUGGCAUUCUUUAUGGUACCAUUUGAAGUCCAUCUUCAUCUGGGAAAUAUUUGGCUUAUUUUCUUGUUUUGCCUUCUACAAUAUUGCACUACAAAUAUUUGGGGCAUUAAGUAGGCCAGACACAAUUUAACUAACAGAGCAACUCAAAGCAGACCUUUGCAGCUCCCCAGAACUGGGUUGAAAUAACAUCACAAAUAAUUAAUGUUACAGAAAAGGUUAUAUUUUUAUUUGCGCUACUAUUCCCCCAAGCACAGGCAAAAAUAUUGAACCAAUAAAGUCUAUUUUAUCUGACCACUCAUACGUAAACACUUAAACACCAAGACACUGUUUACUUGCAGAUAAUAGCUUGCUAUUAGACCCAAAGAGUGUGAGAGAGAGGGGAAAUUGCUAAAUAAUUCAAAUAACAAUUUGUGGAAAAUGCAGUAUUCCAUUAAUAUUGUAAGUGGAAAAACUCUGAACAUUCAGAAGAACAUUUAUGAGUGGAAACUUGUCAAAUUCAUUUUUAAUAGCCAGCAUUUCAGUCUAUUUUUUGCAACCAGAAAAUAUUUAGGCAGAUGGCAAACUGCUUGUGUUUACUGCUUGUAAGUGGCAAUAAAUCGACAUCCUCUUAUCCUGUGCUGCCACAACUUACCCUCUCUCUUACCCUCUGGUCAUUUGUCCUCUUCCACUUGCUAAAUGUUUUCGUUACAUGUUGGAGAUAUGAGCCUUUUUCUCCCCCCAAAAAUUCAGAAGCAGCCCUUAAGUAACAUGGGAAUUAAUAUGUACAUUUGUACAUUUUGAUUUUGGUAUUGUUAAGGUUGUCAGCGACAGGUUAUACACCUGUCCCAACUUGAUUGUCCUGGCUGCUGGUUGUUACCUAUAAAGCCUUAAAUGGCUCAGAACUGCAGUAUCUCAAGGACAGGCUCCCUCCGUAUGGACCUACAUGGACCCUGCAAUCAUCAUCCAAGGCCCUAAUUGUUUUGUUCAUGUUCCUAUUAUGCAUUUUGUGGUUUUUAUGUUGUGAACCGCCCUGGAAUCUGCAGAGGAAUACAAAUUUAUUAAAUACAAAUUUAAUAAAUAAAUAAUUUCUCCUCCCUCUAGGUUUUUUUUUUUUGGUUUGUUUGUUUGCUUAGCUGAUAGCUAAAGAUACCGUAUUUUUCGCUCCAUGGGGUGCACCGGACCAUAGGGCGCACCUAGUUUUUAGGGGGGGAAAUAAAGAAAGGCUUGCGGAUAGCUUCCUGAAGCCUGCAUUCGCUCCAUAGGACGCACACACAUUUCCCCUUCAUUUUUGGAGGGGAAAAAGUGCGUCCUAUAGAGCAAAAAAUACGGUACUUUCUCAACAGAUACUGGUGGCUGGUGCCUACUGGCUACUGCAUAUUCCACCUGCCUGGAUACAGGGCCAGGGAGAAAUAGUCUGACAUUUUGGAAUGUAGCCAGCAGAUGAAGGUUUUGCAGCUAGCUGCUGAGAAGGGACAAGGUGGAGACAGGAUAUGCUGUUUGCCUUUGAAUCUGAUGCUACUUAAAAGCCUAGCCCUCGCUAAUGGGUCAUUGCUUGCUGCCCAAAGUUCAGCUUGUAUAUUAAUUUAUAAAGGAAGAGGUAAUAUAAACAUGGCUCCAGUACUCUCCACCCAGGAAAAUGGCCUUGUAAAAGGCCAGUAUUUCCUACCUCUGUUUGGACAUGCAAACAGUAUCAACCACAGAUUGAUUCAACAUGAGUUUUACCAAUUUAUAAUUACAGCAACUACAGAGCAGCUGCUUUGGGGCAUGGGGCAAUAAAUGAAUACAGUCGGAAAUGAAUUAUAAUAAUACUUACAGUGUGUUGUUACAGUGUUGGAGAGAUGAGGGAAAGCUGCUUGUUUUCAUAUUUUUGAGUUAGAAUUCUAUGAACCUUUUUUAUUACAAAUGUAUCAGUAAACUGUCUCUAAACCUUUUUAUUCACUACUACUGCAUUUUCAUGUGUUACUUUUUAUUAUUUCUAUGUGGCAAAUUGAAGACCUUGUUUGGUAUAGAAAAGCCAAGAUACCAAGAUACUAUUCAAAACAGUAAGAAUUUACCUACCCACUCGCUGAUGUAAAAUACAUUUUAUCAUUGAUGUAUUUUUUAUGAGGCAGGGAUCCAAGUUACAAAAGUUUGUGAAAGUGAGUAGUCUGGGUAUAUAUUUAUAUAUCUACAGAAAUAUUUCGCCUCCGUCAUGCAAACAUUGCCAUAUUGGUGCUAUUUAAGGGAGAUAGGGAGUGUCAGUAUUUCAGAUAACUUCUGAUUAUGCCUCAGAACACCUAUGUUUCCAGAUAUUAUAAGGUACAGCAAACAAAUAAAUGUUCUUUAGCAAUAAACUAGAAUUGAACAGAGAAGAUUUGUUUGGGGUUUUUUUCUUUUCUUGACUCCUUCAGAAAGCUGGUUUUUGAGCCUUGUAGUGAAUCUAGCAGUCAUCACUACCUCUGGCCAUCUAAUGAAACAACACGGUGCCCUUACACCUUGCAGGAUAAAGGUAUAUUAAUAAUUUAAUUCACUUUGCAAUCAGUCCUUUCACUUUUUUGAUAUCAAUGGCUUCUCUGAUUCUAAAACCAUAAGGGAGACCCCAUUACUGCCACCUUCUGGUUCAAUCUGUUCCUCACAGUCACUUCCAAAUUUAGACCAGGUGAUCACAUCUUAAGACACUGCUUAAAGCAAAAGCAUUUGACAGAAAAACCUCAAGCUGUUAUUAAAUGCUAGUUUUAUCACACCAAUACAGAGGAGCAGCCUGUUAAAAAAAAAGAUAGCUCUAGCAAUAUCUCUCUUCUGGCCUCUUUACUAGCGAAACGGAAAUCUAUAAACUUAUUAUCUAGGGUUUAGAUAAAUUAAAAUAGCAUUUUCUGUUGCACCUUGAAGAUUUAGAGUCCUUGCAAUAGCAUUAAUCUGAUGCUAUUGCCCAACAGAAUCUGCAUUAUCUCUCUAUGGACAAGGUUAAUAUGAACAAAUCACAUUAAAUAUACAUUUAUAUAAAUAGAUAAUGUUUCAGUUGAUACAGCUGGGAAUCUUUCAGUUUCCACAUUUAUUUUCACAAGUGAGGAUUUAUACAAAGGAUCAGCAGGUAGCAGAUCCAGGGCCCUCUGUGAUACACUUUUCCUUGUCGCCAGUGCUAUUUUUCUAGAGAAAGAGGUGCCAGAAAUCACCAUGAAAACACCUCCCUUGUUUUCUUAUAAUGGCAAUGGAGCCCACCUGAGGGGUGCCGGAACUGAGUUCCAGUGAGUUCUGGCUGAAAAAAGCCCUGCUUGUUGCCAAUUCAGAUGGAUUGGAGCAGCAGGAAAUCAUCUGAUGCUCAGAGUCUGUGUCAAUCCUGCAGAAGAAGUCGGGGAAGAGGACGCUAAUACUCAGGGUCUCCUGAGACAUCUUCUGAGUCCAUGUUAUAAGGCAGGGCUCUUUGACAUUACUUAUGAGGGCUCUUUUUAGAGUUGAUUGAGGAAGAGCUUCAGCUGAGGGACCUGGACAUUAUGGCUGCUGUCUGUGAGAUGGCUGCAGCCAUAUUUAGGGAAGCUUUUAAUGUUUGAUGUAUUACAGUAUUUUAAUUUUAUUUUUUUGGAAGCCACCCAGAGUGGCUGGGGAAGCCCAGUCAGAUGGGCGGGGUAUAAAUUAUUAUUAUUAUUAUUAUUAUUAUUAUUAUUAUUAUUAUCAUCUGCAUGCCUUUUUGGAUGACUGCUCAGGGUCAUCCAAAAUGUGGAAAGAGGGGCAACUGGCCUUUGUCUUUCUAACUACCAGCAAGCUGAGGGAGGGGACCCCACCCAUUUGCUGUCUGGCACAGAGCCACUUCCUUUGUUGCCUUAAUAGCCCAUACUGAGAGGGCCAUUACCUCACCAGGAAGCUAGCCUGGCUAUUCCAGGAACUGGAUUCGUGCUAGAUCCAGGAAUUAGAAUGGGGCUCAGGCAUAUAGCCUACCUCUUGGUAGCAAUAAGGCUACCAAGCAGCUUCAUUUUGGGAGUGCUGCGUUUUACUACCCAAGUAAGUUUUAGAAACAAGUGGUCAUUUGUGCUAUUCUUCAAGAUUAUUUGCGGGCCCUUGGGAAACGGCAGUUUAAAAUUUGAUUAGGAGGUGCUGCAGUUCCUAGAGGCAGAAGGUGCAAUAUCUUGUGAGCAUCUGCUUGACUGCCCAGAGAAAAUGAGCAAAGUUCCAUUGUGCGCAUUAUGCCUCCUGGGCUCCAUUACCUAAUGUACACAUUGAAGUCUGAUGCAGGAAUACAGCGUUCUUGAUACACUUUGUAUAAAUAACCUGCAAGCAACAUCUUGAAGGGAUAAAGGCUUACAAGAUACUUAGAAACACAAUUUCCGCUGCGAAAAACAGAAGUUUGUCCUCUCACUCCCACACUAAUUUUUUUUUUUGGCAAGCACCUUAAUUUCAGAUGCUGCCAUAAGUUCUGACAACGGGAGCACUGGAAUAAUCGGAAAGCACACUUGAGGGUCCCCACGCGGAAAACAUUUGGCACAAGUAGUGUGUGGAUGUUUUAUGCUUGCUGUUUGCAGAACAGAGAAGCUCAUCAGAUGGCCAGGCAAUUAGGGAAUCAUAGCAAGCACAAUUCCCCCACAGCUAAAAGCAAAGCUAAAAGAACAGACGUAAUUCUAGCUGAUUUUUACGGCUAUGUCAGGGACAACAGCUCCAUCAGCCUCGCUUUGUAUCAUCACAGAUUUAGGUAUGUGCCUUCCUCUGAUUUUCAGCUGCCACUAACUCACCAGGAAUGCCUUCAGAACCUCAUAGUAGCAUGUAUAGCAGACUUAGGCAUGAGAUGGAUGCCAAUGCUAGAGACAACUGUCUCUCUCACUGACGGUUUACUCCAACUGACACUAACCUCCAGCCAAUCAGUCUGCUGUCACCCAGACCAAUCAGAUUGAAUUUACCUGAUCCACGCUCCAUCUAAUAAGAUUUUUAAGCCAUCAUCUCUCUCUCCACUGUCAGAACCUGUCAUCUGAUCUACCGCUGCACAGGCUUGCAACAUUUUUAAUAGUACACAGCAUCAAACCUUUAAAGUCACAGUCACAGAACACCCCCUCCCUCAAAUAAUAAUAAUAAUAAUAAUAAUAACAUGAACAUAAACAUAUAUGCAGCGUUCCUCCACAGACUACAUGGUGGCUGUUUAAGGGACGCGGGUGACACUGUGGGUUAAACCACAGAGCCUAGGACUUGCCGAUCAGAAGGUCGGUGGUUCGAAUCCCCGCGAUGACGUGAGUUGCCGUUGCUCGGUCCCUGCUCCUGCCAACCUAGCAGUUCGAAAGCACGUUAAUGUGCAAGUAGAUCAAUAGGUACUGCUCCGGCGGGAAGGUAAACGGCAUUUCCGUGCGCUGCUCUGGUUCGCCAGAAGCGGCUUAGUCAUGCUGGCCUCAUUACCCAGAAGCUGUACGCCGGCUCCCUCGGCCAAUAAAGUGAGAUGAGUGCCGCAACCCCAGAGUCGGCCACGACUGGACCUAAUGGUCAGGGGUCCCUUUACCUAUGGCUGUUUAAACUGUGCGGGGGCAUUGCUUUUUUUGUUACUAGUUGUGUAUUUUUGUGUUUAAUAUUGUAAAGCUCCCUGUGAUCCUUGGAUGAAGAGUGCUAUAGAAAUGCAUGAUUCUGGCUUUGCAACUAGAAUGAAAGAUGUGCAUACCUGGAAACUGAAGGCUAGCUCAGCUGUCAUCUUACCCUGCCUCCCCUGCUCCCUUUUUUGGCAUUUAAAGGCAGCACACAGGCAUUCAUAUGUUUAUCCAUUCGGUCAUUGCCUAAUUCAUUUUUAAAAUAAUUGUUCAAAGUACAGAAUUGCUCCAGGCAAGGGUUUUUGGUGACAUCAUGGCUCCAGGAGCCAACCAGAACCAGGCAUUUGUUUAUUCAAUUAUUUUCAAUAAAAAAAAAUGCCACUGUUUAGCUAAGACAUUUCCAGAGUAGUUAACAGUAUUAUAAUUAAAUAUGAUGUAAUAAAAGAAAUUCAAACAAGACAGGAAACAACCAGACAAAACAAUCACAGCAGAGAUGGGGAGGAGGGGAACCUGGUAAACAAAAACAAAAUGGUGGAAAGCCAACUCAAUCAAUUAAGAUCAUCUAACUGACACGCUAAAAUGUUGUACUUUGUCUACUCUAUGCAUACAGUAUUGGAAGCUUAGAUCUGAAUUGACUUUGUCCCUAUGAACUUAAGGGGACCCACUUGCAACUGAGAUAACGCCUGUCUUCAAAAUCCCUCAAUUGGUUCCAUUUCUUGGUCACAAUAGUGAGUGACUGAACGCACGACAAAAAAGGCAGAGAUCAUUCUCUCAUACCAACGUGCCUCCCUUGAUUCAGUGCUUCCUUUCCUACCUCAGCAACCUGGCAUCUGACUCCAGACGCUGUCUUAGUUCCUGGCAGGCCCAAAAAGGAUGCUUUCCCUGUAAGUCAAGAUCUAAUUUAGUCUCUUUGGAAAUGUUACAUGGCCAUUUAAUGAUGCAGAGGAGGGAAACAGAAAUACUAACAAGAUAUUCAUUUCCUCUGUUUUUUUUCUGAUCUAAUCUAGCCGUCAGGAAAUAUGGAAAAUCAUGGUAAUGUGUGGGUUUUGCUGUUUGUAUUCCAAGCAUCACACGCUUCUCAGCUUUGUUUUUGCCCCCAGCCUGCUUCGAAGCAACAUUCGAGAACCAGAAAACCAGUGUGGUGUAGUGGUUAAGAGCGGUAGUCUCGUAAUCUGGGGAACCGGGUUUGCGUCUCCGCUCCUGCACAUGCAGCUGCUGGGUGACCUUGGGCCAGUCACACUUCUCUGAAGUCUCUCAGCCCCACUCACCUCACAGAGUGUUUGUUGUGGGGGAGGAAGGGAAAGGAGAAUGUUAGCCGCUUUGAGACUCCUUCGGAUAGUGAUAAAGCGGGAUAUCAAAUCCAAACUCUUCUUCUUCUUCUUUUAGCAUGGUACAGAUGAGGUAACCCACACAAUAACAACCAUUGGAUACAGCCCUAUAUUUCUUACCAUGCAGAUUGAUUUGUCUGUUAUUGAGCGAACUCAGGAUCCAUUGACUGUGGUUGGAAUGGAACAUACAGCCUUUGAUUUGGAUCUUUAAUUCCUCUUAUGCUCUAUACCAAGGGUAGCCUGUGAAAAUUGCCUCUUGAAUAUGCUGGGCUCAGGCUGCUAAGGGCUAUGUAGAUCAUUAUUUCCACUUUGGAAUCAAUCCAGAACGCAACAGGGAACCAAGGCAGCCACUGAAAUGAUGCUUUCCCACCUAGGCUCGUAGUAAAAAUUUGAGUAAGACUUCAUUGGAGAAAAAUGUUACAGUAGAAGGAGUCCCAGGACUGCCCAUUCUCGUAUGGACAAACAUAAAUUACGGAAAAGAAAGGGGCAAACUUGCUGCAACAAGACUGGAGAGAGGAGAUAGACCCCAGACAUUUAGAGGCACUCUCUAAUAUCUCCCGAGCUUUAUCGCUGAAAUGGGGGGGGGGGGCUUACGUUUUAUUUGGGCUAAAAUUCAGUGGGAGGAAGGGAGUAACUUCUUGUUUUGUAUUUUUAAAAGCUUAUUAUUCUCAACAGAGCAAGGGAGAACAACAAAAAUAAGCAGGCUUAUGUGCUCUGAUUCCUUCACUGAAUCAAGACCCAUGGUCUCAGAUGUGGAUCCAGUUGCUCCACUUGCAUGGUGCAAGUUGCAUUCCAAGGGAAAGGGUUCUAAUGUGAUCUCCAUCCAUGCGAUAUAGAUCUCCAACCAGUCUCAGAGAUUUGCAUGUGCCAGUUCAGAACCGUCUGCAGUAUUUUGAUGCUUAGUGAACUAGUCAACACAUCUGAUAAGUAUGGCCUCAUCAACACAUGAACAGUAUAUUUGAUGGUGGCAUCACAAGACUGAACGGACCUAGGAUAAGUUUUCACCAGAACACUUCACAAUCUAGUUUUCUCUAAAGAUCUUUAAUUUCUUAGGUGGUAAAAUGUCUGAAGUUUGUCAGGCUCAAGAGAGCUCAAAGGGGCUGAGAUUAGGCCCAUUGCAACCCUCUAAUCAGUGUUUUCAAAUGACUGUUUCCUAAUAAAUUUAAUGUUGUGGGGUUGUUUUAAAGACGGAGACAAUCUCCUCAAGGGAUAAGUAUGUUACUUCAGUGGUCCAUUUGCAUCUGUUUAAGUUAUCAAGUCCUCAUGUUUUUAUUUCUAAGUCCAUUUUUUGCCCAUAUGUCCACCCACCCAUCCCAUUCAUGAAGAGCUCGGAGUUGUGGAUUUGGCAAAUCCAACAGCCAGUUCUGUUGUUCUAAUUCAUAAGGAUGCCGAUGGGCCUAUGGGAUAUGGCCAGCAAUUUGAAGAAAAACCACAGGAGGUUUCUCUUUGGUUGAUUUAUGGCAACCUGUCAUGAUUACGAUACAUACACAGAAUGACUGUAAUAUAUACCAGAGUCAAGUGGUGCUUCUAGAAGCGAAGAAAAAAUGUUUGAAAGAAGGGUUUUGUCAAUGUUUGGCCUGAAGGCAAAGGAUUGGUUAAAUCAUAACUUGAAUCACACAGGCCCAGUUUCAACUGUAAACUGGAGUGCUAGUGUUUCCACCUGAUCUCCUUCCCUUGAGUGCCUCCUAUGCCUCCCCCAAAUCACUCUGGAGGGUCAGUAGAACCCCCAGAACAGCAUGUGGGGCAGUGGAAAGAGAGGGGAGAUUGGUCUGCUGGGCAAGCAGAAAUACUUGUGCUAAUGCAAGAAUCAGAAGAGUGCAAUGUUGAAUUCCGCCCACAGUGUUUAUUUUUGUCACCAGCUAGUUCCUUAUUUCAAUGGAGCACUGAUUCCAGCUCAUCUCUGGUCAGCCACAUAGGCCAAGUUACAGGCACUGAAAUCCUACCACAUGCAGACAGUUGUGUAAAGAAAGUAACAUCAAAUCUGAUGGACCACACAGCUUUCUACUAGUGAUUUGUGUAAGAGUUGUCUUUCAAAAAUGUGCCUGAAAAAAAGCUUUUCAUGGUCGGCGGCAUCUAUAGAGGGAAGCCUGGUCAAUUUUUAAGAAGAGAAGAGUUUUGAAAUGAAUUAGGGCGGUGGCAGCGUAAAUAGUUUAAUGAAAUCAGAAUAAAACUGUCUGCUUAGAGCAACUUGUCAAAAGGCACAAAUAUAGGAGUGCAGAAAGCCAGUCCUGCCAGGUAGCUUGCUACAGAUGACAUCACAAGAAGGAAGGGAAUAGGUGAAGGCAGAGGCUGGCGUCUGAAUGGUAUGAGGGCUCAUUGCUGGGUUCUGUGUUGUGUAUCAAAGGACCUUGGAGAAGCACUAUGUUGAGCAACGUGGGCAAAUAAGAGGAGAUGUGGAGAUCAUUCAAGGUGGAGAGUUAUCAGUGUAAGAUAUCUUUUAUUGAGCCACAUUAUCAAAGCACUCAACAUGCUGGACAUCAGAACUCAUUGGACGGCAGCUAAAUCAAACAUUUGCACGAUAAAACAAACUGGGACGUUAUUGAUAAACAGAUGCCAACUCAGUCCAAAGAGGUGUGCUCUGGUGGAUGAUCACUCCUCAAGAUGGGAGUCUCCCUAAGCUCACCCAGUGUCCAGCAAGAUAAAUUCAAACAAGAAUUUCCCCGAUAAAUAAGAACUGACUAUGACUAAAAGCAUUCUUCCACAUUUGUCCUUAAUGAUGACAUAGAUUCAGUAGUCUAUUUAGAACAAUGUCGUAUAUUUUCCACCUUCAAAGGAAGCUCUAUUAUUAAUUGAAGAACUUAGGGUAAUAAAAGCACAGAGAUACAAAACAUAGCUGGAUAUAAUUCAUGUGGAAAAAAAGAGAUGCAGAGACAAAUUCCCCAAGAGUUAAAACACUUUCUGUUGUAGGGGUCAUUGUACAUACCGGUAUUAUGCUUUAGUUGCUUUACAUUGCCUGUUUUAGACAAAAAAAAGAUGGGAUGCAAAAUUAUACAAAACAAAAUACUCAGGAGCACAAACAAACUUACACUGAGGACCUGUCACAACCGUUGCACUUGGAACAAAGGGAGCAAACCCAAUGGAAUUAAUUGUCCUAAAUUAGUCUUGCGCAUUACUUUUAAUGGGUCUGCUCUGAGUAGGACUAAUGUUGCAUACAAUCCACAGGAAGCUAUCUUCCGCCAAAUCAAUCUGGUAUAAGUUUAGUACUGUCUACUCUAGCUUAGAGUGGCUCUCCUGGGUCAGACAUCAGAUACACACCAUAAAUUUAAAGUACACCCAAAGCACAUUUAAAGGAGAUUAUUUGCCCCAAAGAAUCCUAGAAACUGUAGUCUACCCCACACAGAGCUACAAUUCCCCUGCAUUCUUAACGAACUACAGUUCCCAAUAUUAUUUAAGGGGAAGCCAUGUACUUUAAAUGUAUGUUGGAUGUGCUUUAAAAGCAUGGUGUGGAUCUCCCCUCCGGCUAAGGUCUUCCUCAUCACUUUCUUCUUUUUUUUUUAAUGAUAUUUAUUGGGGAAAUUUUUUUUUUUUAAUUACACCAAAAAAAGACAAGACAGAAAAAUAAAAAUAAAAAAUAAAACCAUCAUUCUCAAGUUCUCCACUUUCAAUACCUUCUUUCUUUGACCUCCUCCUCCUCCCUUUUCUUGUAUCCUGAUUAAUAAUAAUCGCAGCAAAUCCUUUCCAUAUUUCAUAGUAUUCUGUCAUUACAUUACCUUAAUCUAUUUUCAUCUUAUCUUAUAGAAAACCUUAAAGUUUAAAACUUAAAUCUUAUUUUUACCAACUUCUCCUAGCCAUAACAUUCUUACCAAAUUCUUUAAACAUUUUUACAAGAGCCAAGUAAUUUCAUUUCAACAUUUUGCUAGCAUUCAUCAAUUUUAUAGAACAAUCCUAAUGAUAAAAAAAAAGAAAUAAACAAUCCAAUCUUCAUCCAGCGUCCAUUCCUCCUGGUCCCGGGUUUUGUCAGUCCUUUUUAUCUUAUUAAUCUAGCACAUUAACCUGGUAAUCUUAUAUCCGAAGCCCUCAAGUCUCUUCCAUGUCCCUUCCGCAGCUCUUCUUCAUAUUUUCCUUUCAUUCAUGGGAACUCCAGCUUGGUAAUGUUUUUGACCCUUUUCAACAAAUCAGCCCCUUUUCCAUAGUCCAGACUAGACUCCAUGUGGUAUUUAAAAACAUGUUUCAGAUUCCCUCCAAAAUUAAGAGCCCCCACAGCUCCAAACAUCUGGCGGCCCAUUGCCAGACUCGAAAAGUCCAAAUCUCCCUGUAUAGGGGGGUCUGUCCAACCCCCCAUUUCCAAACCAAACCAAACUUUGUCUUUCCAAGUCUGGUUUUUUCCAAGUUCAUUUAUCAAAUCCAAAAAUUUAUGUUCCUGCUAGGCCGCAGCUCCCUCCGUCUCUGGCGCCCAAGAUUCAGCAGCAUCCUCUUCUCUCAACUGUUCUGUCAUGGCACACCUGUUUUAGCUCCUGGGUGGGCUCCAUAUAAUUUCCCACUACCUGUUCAAAGGUUCUGGCCGCAUUAGUCAUCAAAUCCGUCUUCUGGCUUAACUGAUCCAAUAGGGCAUUUAUUUUGCAGAGAGCACCCAACAGUGCUUCUGAAGACAUUGUCCUGCAAGGUCACAAAUCCUUUCCCACGGUUGUAAUCUGUGGCAGCUGCAAGCUCCCAGGAAUUAGUUACAAUUUCACAGUCCCCUCUAGGGGAAAUCUUCUGGUUGUUCUUUCUUUUAAAAACAAUAGCAACAAAGUUUCUUAUUAAGGUAUUUUGUCCAUAUUUGUUCUUUUUAAAAUGCGAAAGGAAACAAUGGAAUCACUAUGUUUCUCUUCUUUUAACUAUCUGUCAAAGACAUUUGUUUCUGGUCAAUGAGCUUCAAACGUCAAUUCUGACACCCCGCUCCAGGAUCAGGACGGUGGAAAAUUACUUUGCUUUAAACUCACUUCUGCAGGUUUAAACAGCCCAAAAAAGAUCCCCCUUCUUCUCCUGCUGCCGAAGGGGGGUUCAGCGAUUUUAAAUGAUGAAAGCCAAUCCUUUGAAAGUGAUUUUUAAAGCUCUAGUUUACGUUGUCUUUGCUUUAUUCUGGCUACAAGGAAACGGAAGGCUGACUUCCUGUUUAGACCUUCCCGUUUCAGUACCAAAUUAAGGUAAAUUUUUAAGUCUAAAUUCCUUUCUAUUUCGCCAGUUCUUAUUUAAAGUCCAAAUGUUCAAUGUUCCAGUACUCACGGGUGGUUAUUUUAGAUGCCAAAUUGUCCCAGGAAAAAGGCAGCACUCUCCAGCAACGGCUAUGCGGCUUCGCUCCGCAGAAAAAGCAAUUGACUCACAGCACCGCGCCACUUCCCCCUCUUCGCUUCGGAGCCCGUUAGUGGGUUCCUUUGCGGGUUGGGGGGGCGCUAAGGGUGCCCGCCGAGUCCCACGGUCACAGGCUUCAUCCGCCUGUGAUUUCCAGAAGGGUCCCCGCUUCGCCGUAGCGGAAAAGACCCGUUUCAUGCGGAGCUGGUCCCUCCAGUUCAGAGGGAGUCCGCCAUUGCCGAUGGCGCCACCCCGGAAGUCCUCCUUCCUCAUCACUUUCCACCCAAUCCUUCUAAUGGAGAUACCAGGGAAUGAACCUGGGAUUUUCUGCAGGCAAGGCAUCUUCUCUACCUCCCAUAUACCUGUAAAAGUCUCUGCAUUUACAUAUUAAGCACAGGGAUAAACUACUCUCUGUUUUAUACUAGUUUUAACUGCCAAUAAUAAUAAUAAUAAUAAUAAUAAUUUAUUAUUUAUACCCCGCCCAUCUGACUGGGUUUCCCCAGCCACUCUGGGCGGCUUCCAACCGAAUAUUAAAAACAAUACAGCAUCAGACAUUAAAAACUUCCCUAAACAGGGCAGCCUUCAGUUGUCUUUUAAAAGUAAAAUAGUUGUUUAUUGCCUUGACAUCUGCUGGGAGGGCAUUCCACAGGGCAGGCGCCACUACUGAGAAGUCUCUCUGCCUGGUUCCCUGUAACCUCACUUCUCACCAUGAGGGAACCACCAGAAGGCCCUCGGAACUGGACCUCAGUGUCCUGGCUGAACGAUGGGGGUGGAGGCGCUCCUUCAGGUAUACUGGACCGAGGGCGUUUAGGGCUUUAAAGGUCAGCACCAACACUUUGAAUUGUGCUCAGAAAUGUACUGGGAGCCAAUGGUUUUCUUAAAAGGAUCCCAAGGACUGUAGUUUGUUUUGCCAAGAAUGGCGUGUUAGAGAUCCCUAACAACAUCCCACCACUUCUAAACUUCAGUUCACAGGAUUUCCAAAGAAGAAGAAAAUGACCAGAUUAAGUGUUUAGUGUAGAUUUGUCUCUUGUAUUUUUCACACGUUGUUCUUUAAAGAAGAAAUACAUUAAGCCACUUUGAACAUUCCAGCUUUAGUGGAGACACCAUGCAGCUCCUGUAGCUCUACGGUGUGCAUGCCCUAAAACUGUACAGUGGGAAUCAGCACUGUGUCUGCCUUCACCCCUACUGCUUACUGCUCUGCUUGCUAUAUGGUAAAUGGAAGCAAAUAAUGCAGAUAUUGACCAAUUAAUCCUUGCAAAUCACUUUCCAAAGAUAAAAGUAUCACAUAAAUGCUAAGCAUUAUGAACUAAGACAGGGCUAAUGCUGGGAUUGAAAAUGUCGAUUUUCAUCAUCUGUAUCCUAGGUAAUCCUGGGAUUUAUAACACAGAUGUGUGAGGUCUGGUUGUUGUUGUUUUUUAAAAAAGAGGAACAUAAUUGAGGGGAAAUAGAGAUGGAAUAAAGUAAGUUCCUUUCCACUGGUUCACAAGAAAAUGAGAGAGAGAGAGACUGAGCACACAAAGCCAUUGCAAUUUGUCUCACUUCCUAAAACCACUAGUUUUAUUAGUAGCUAUGGGAUGUCCUCUAGAUGUAAGGAAGAGCCUGAGUUAUGAAUGAUCUCUUGCUCUUAGCUCCAGUGAAGGGAGAAAUCAGCAGUAUCAGAGAAAGUAAGAUAACCAAAUAGAGGAAAGUUAGGAUGAAAUUGGACAACAUUUAAAUGCAUGUAACAGACCAAAGAACUUUUUAAAAAAAAUAAAAAAGAGAGAGAAACUGAGGUAGCAGGGCAGGAAUGGGGAAGUGAUGAGUGUUUGGCCCAUUUUCCACCCACUGCUCCUCUGCUCCAGAUCCGUUGUCGGGUUCCAAACACAUCUUGGCAAGCACACAUUUAGGAGAAUAAUAGGAAGAGAGAGGAGCAGGAAGAGGAGGAGGAGGAAGUGUGGCGAUUCCACCGCAAAAGCAGGCAGUUAGCCCAGGAGGCUGGAGAAAAUGCUAGUUCGAAAGGCGUUUAUACACAUCUUGCUGUUAAUCGUUCAUUUGGCCCACACGUUUUGUCCAACACUUUUCAAUGUGUUUCCCUGUCACUUUCCUAACUGCAAAACGUCCAGUGGGGUCUUUGUUGUUGUUGUUUCAAGUGGUUUGGUGGUGCUGGGGUGACAGCUUGCUUUAAAUCACUUUAAUUUCACAAAACUAGAAUUACAGUACACGCCUGAAUCCCCCUGCAAAUUAGUAACACUCUGGAGGCACUCUGUCUUUUUGGGUAACAGGGGUCACAAACAUACUUGACCUAUACAUACUGAGCUAUACCAUUCAGAUUGCAGGCAGGAGGAGCUCACCAGGUUGAAUGUUCCUCCAUACUAAGACCAUAAAUAAAGUUUAUGUAAGCUUCUCUGGACAUAUUUAUACUGAAGGACAAUGUACAUCUGCAUAAAAUAUAUGUAUGUCGGGGUGAAGCCAGGUAAAAACACAAUCUAAAAAGCUAAAAGAUUCACACAGAUAAAAAAGAACUUCACCUGGCACUGGGUGGUGGGGGAGAGAAAGAAUCCAUGCCAGAUGAUCACCCCUGAAGAAAGUAUUCCAAAGUUGGGGAGCCAUAACUGAGAAAGCACAAAACCAUGAAAAAGAGGAGAAGGUUGGAAUAAAUAAAAAGAGAAAAAAAUUCUUAAAUGUUUCAUUUGGCAAAGGAGGAAGCCAAUAAGGAGAAUUGCCUCAUGAGUUCCCAGAGCCCUGGGUCUGAGGUUUUUCAUCACUGGUGUAUAGGACUGCAGCUUUAGUUAUUUCAGUGCUUUUUGUAUAAUAAAUACAGUUAUUAUUAAAUCUAUGCUUUCAGACAUUAAUCUGCAUCAAAAUUUGCAUUUGAAGAGUGUUUUCUGGAGGCAUAUCUCGAAUUAAUCCCCAUUGUCCUACAGGACUCAAAUUAUGCCAAAGCUAUGCUCAAUAAAUACAUAAAUACAUUCUGGCAUCCAUGACUUACCUGGUGAGAUUCUGAAGGAGCUGCUGUUGGAACUGUUAAUGGAUGGAAAUUCAGAUAUAGGAACUUAUUUCAGAAUAAAAGUGGUUUUAGAUACAAACUGAGGCUGAUUUACAUGAGAUUAUUCAGCAUUGUUGAAAGAAUGCUAACAAAUUUACCCCCACACAGCAAUUCAAAUGCAUGCAGUGCUUUCCAUAACUCAAAAAACUGUCUCGGGUACAAAGAUAGAGGUAAAAACAGACAUGAUAUACGGUAUAAAGUGAUCGCAACAGUAAGGCUCUGUACAAAACAAACAUUUAAAGCACAUUCCACCUCCACCCUCCAAAUAAUCCUGGGAAUUAUAGUUCACUCCUAUCAGAUCUACAAUUCCCAGCACCCUUAACAAACUACAUUUCCCAGGACACUUUGUGGGAGAAUGUGCUUUAAAUAUGUGUUGUAUGUGCAGUUUAAGAGCCUUGCAUUGCAACUUGCAUUACAAAUGUAAUAUGGAUCUGUUCCUAGUCUUACAUCUUCCCUUGUUGGUUAUAUGGGAUGUCUCUCUCUCUCUCUCUCUUUUUUUAACAAUGCAGCAUAUGUGGGUUUAUAUGUUCAUUCUUCACCUUACCUCUUCCCCCCCCAAAAAAAAACCUAUAAUGCAAAUCAGAUUAUAUGAGAAGUGGGUUGGAGAUGUGGCAGACAGUAGCCAGUAGGAACUACACAGCUGCACCACGCUGAAACCCUGCAGAACCAUUUUUGUUUGUUUACAAGAGCUUGUCCCAAAGCAAGGGGGAAUGUACAUUUUCUUAGGAAACACCAUCAUUGUGUCUGUGUUCCCUCAGAAGUUUAUUUGUCAUGCCAAACCAGCUAGAACUAGAUCUGAGUGCUGAUGAAGUCAGUCCAUUACAUUUCCUGUUCCCCAUCCCACUUAUAGCCCAGCUUCGUAACAUCAUUAUGGAUUUAUUUUUCAGACAGCCUGAAUACAAUCUCCUGUUUGCAAGGAGAAUGACAAAGGCUACAGAUCUCCCCCAAGGCUAAGAUCCACAUUUUUCAGUGACUCCUUGACAACAGAAAUAAUUGCUUUUCAUUUUAGUAGCAUAUGGUGGGAUGGAGGCACAGCUGGUUCACUUGCCAUUUCCAAGUUUUGGGGAAAGGAGGAGGUGGAGAAGUAAUAUUCCAUUCCUAUUAUUUGUCAUGAUCCCAGCCUCCAGCAGGGAUCUGAACCCAGACUCUAAGCUUGAGAGACUGUGCAUGACUAUGGUCUUGUAAGUUCACCUGCAGGGAGGCCUUGCACUACUAACAAUAGUACCCAGUGCUUUUUUGGUGAGGGAGUUUAAAAAAUGAGGUUCCAUUACCCAAAUACUGAUAAAAGUCCUGUGGGUGCCAGCACAAAAUGGCUGCCAAAGGCAGCAAAAAGAAGUGCCGGUACCAGUGAAUACUGUCACAAAAUAAGCAAUGCGAGUAUUCAGAAAAUACCAGUCAGUACUGAUUAAAGACCUAGUAACAGAGACCUUCUUUGUAGUUGCCUGAAUCCCUUGAGGAACAGUACACCAUAUAUCCAAAGCUUCAUUAUCUCCCUGCUUUCUUACCACAAAUGCCAAUGGAUCUAUCAAGAUUCUACAGGACAGUAACAAGUGGGGGCCCCUCAGACUGCCACUGCUUUCAGGUGGGAUUCAAUCACACCCUACCAAAGUCAGUUAAAGCUGGUAUGGAGCUCUUGGAAGGGGCAGUGUGUCUCAUGUAGCCACCAAUCAGCUGUGCAGCAGAUGCAUGAAUAAGGAAAGCCAAGCAUGAAUGACCGCCUCUCAUCAUCUGUGUGAUGAGCUAUUUGCUUAAAACAACAAUAACAUUCAUCAAUUUUGGGAGCAGCUAGAAAGCGAAGUUCUUGCCACGCUUUCUGAAAAGUUUUGACCACCUUGGACCACCUUGUAUUUUGUUUUUGAAUUACAUUUUUAAAGGGUGCAGAAUUUUGCCUUAAAAAUCUGCACUGUUAUUCAAAGUAAUGGAGUUACCAGUUUACUUGUAUGGAAAGGAAACAAACUGGACUAAGACAAUUCCAUUAAUCUUCUAAAGAGGGAGCAUAUUAAAAGAGAUUGGAAAAUUCUAGUUCUGGAGACCUUGACAACACCAUCCUAAAACCAUCCAAGAGCCUUGCAAGGGAUGCUUGCCUAUUCACCCUUCCUUGCAAAGUGAGACAAGAGAGUUUUUAAAAAAGAAAAAGUCAAGGGAGUCGUUAUUCCUCAUCCACCUUCCCUUCUGGUCUUGCUUUUAAUAGUAGCCUGACACAAAUAAAUUAAGCAUGUUAAGGUUUUCCUGACAUGGGGAUAAAGGGAUGAGAAAAAUUUCACCUGCUGAGUUUUUCAGACCAGGCAGGAAGAGGAUUAAAAACAAAAAUAGCCACACACUUGAUGUCACUGGGAUCAGUUGUGACCGAGAGGCAGAGGGGAUAAAUGGGCUGAAAUGUGAUCCUGCCUGGUCCCUAGAAGUAUUGGACAUGUCUUUUAUGGCCUCUUUUCUCAUCGGCUACUGGAUUCUUCUACUGAAGUUACCAGCAUACAUUCAUGUAUGGCUUAUUUCACUGAAGGCAAUGCUAUGCUUGACUUUAAAAAAAAAAAGUUGGAGAGUUCAUUUUAAAGUUUCUACUAACCAUUUUUGUAAAGGAUUCCUUUUCUAUACUUCUACAGAUUUUUUUGUUUGUGUGUGUGUGUGUGAGAGAGAGAGAGAGAGAGAGAGAGAGAAACAUACCCUAUGUUUUGACAAUAAAUGUGAGUCUGUUUGUGCACAGGAUUCAUGUGUGUUCAAACAUACAUUUAUAUACAAGGGACAUCAGAAUGUACAUGCAUUUGAUUUAUUUCAUAAAACUUAUAUAGCACUUGGUUGUGGGGGGGAACCCUCAAAGUAGUUUAGGUAUGCAAGUAUGCAUGUAUAUGUGUAUAUGGUCAGUAGGAAAGUAAAAGAAUUAUCAUCUCCCUUCUUCCAAAGGGCUGCCUCCAAAAUCUUCCUGAAUCCAAGACCCAGUCAGAUUCUCACUGACCUCACCAUGAUUCCUGCUCAGCAGAGGACAUUUCCUUACCCGGAUUUUCUGAAGAAGUUGUGUUCAUCAGGCCUCUGAAUAUUGCCUUGAUUUCUAGUUCCUUUCUUGGAGACCAGGGGGUGGACUUUGCACUGUCUGCAGCACAUCUUGAAGAGGUUGCAAAGCCUUUUCAACCUAGGACAGAAUGGAAAGAAAGUGAGAAACUGGCUUGUAGUGUCUGCACUGAACUUUGGGGGCCUUGACACCUCCAGGAUAUGCUGUCAUGAGUAUCUUGUGGACAGAAAUAGGACCCAACAGGAAGAUUUUGCAAAAGAGCCUCCAAAACACUGAGGAUCACCUUUCUGAAAUUACACCCACAAAGGAAACAGGCAAUCCACUUUAUCUGAAACGUUUAAAAUGGUCCUAACUAAUGGUAUUAAUACUCUAGUAUUCACUUUUAUAGCUUCUGGUGGAUUGUGCUGCUUUAUUUUUUGUUUCUGAAAAAAUUCUAGAC